AUAAUAAAAUUAAAAUAAUUUAAUCAAUUUAAUAAAUUUAUUUUAUUUUUAUUUUAUUUUUAAUAAACUGAAAAGGAAUUUAUUAUUAUAAUUUAAUAGAAAAAUUAAUGUACCUUUUGCAUUAGGGGUUUUUAAAAAAAAAUAAAAUUUUAUUUUUCUCGAAAUAUUUUGAGCUAAAAUUUAAUUUUUCUAAUGUUUCAAUAUUAAAAUAAAAUAAAUUUUAGAGGUGAAAUUCUUAUCAAAAAAUAUAAUAUCUAGUUAAAAAAAAUUAAUUAAAUAUUAUUUUGUAAAUAUUAAUUUAUUUUUUAAAACUACAAAAAAAAGUUUUUGGGAUAAGCUAAAAAUUAUUAAAUUUAUAAUAUUUUAAAAAAUAAUAAAAGAAUUAAAAUUUUUCUAUUUAUUUUUAUAAAUAAAUUAAGUUAAAUUGAAAUAAAAGAAUUUAUUUUUUUAAAUUAAAUUUAAUUAAAAAUUUAAAAAAAAAUGAAAAUAUUAGUAAAAAAUUUUUUUUUGUAAUUAUUAAUAAUUAAUUAAAAAUUAAUUUAAUUUAAUUUAAUUUUUAAGAACUAGGCAAUUAUUUUUUUUGACUGUUUAAUAAAAACAACGCAUUUAGAUAAACAAUAAAUGCAAAUCCUGCUCAAUGAAAUUUUUUUUAAAUUGCUGUAGUAUUUUGACUAUACAAAGGUAUUGAAAUAAGAUUUUAAUUGAAUGCUAAGAGAAUGGAAUAUCAAAAAACAACUUUCUUAAAAUUAAAAAUUGAAAUUUUUUUAAUUUGUGUAAAAACAAUUAUAAAAAUUAAAGACAAGAAGACCCUAAGAAUUUUUAAAAUUUAAAUAAUACAUUUUUUGUUUUAAUUAAAUUUUAACUGGGGCGGUUAAAAAAUAUUAAAAACUUUUUAAUUUAAAAAUGACCCAUUAUUAAUGAAAAUAUGAUUAAAUACUCUAGGGAUAACAGCGUUAUAUUUUUUGAUAGAUCAUAUUGACAAAAAAGUUUGCGACCUCGAUGUUGGAUUAGGAUACUUUUUUAAUGAAGAUAUUAAAAUAAGAAGUUUGUUCAACUUUUAAAUUCCUACAUGAUCUGAGUUUAGACCGAUGAGAAUCAGGUUGGAUUCUAUCUUAAUAAAAAACAAAUUUUAUUUAGUACGAAAGGAAUUUUAAAAUCUAAUUUUUAGUUUUAUUUAUUUAUUUUAUUUGCAUCAAUUUUUGUAAUU
rnacentral:rRNA from 1 species